GGUCAAGCUACAAAGGGCUCACGGCGGAUACCUUGGCACACAGAGGCGAUGAAGGACGUGGUUACCUGCGAUAAGUCUCGGGGAGCUGGAAACACGCUUUGAUCCGGGAAUUUCCGAAUGGGGCAACCCCUAGUACGGCCAGCUGAAUCCAUAGGCUGGCACGAGCCAACCCAGCGAACUG
rnacentral:rRNA from 2 species